rnacentral:misc_RNA from 1 species
GAGAGAGAGAGAGAGAACCUAAUUGUGUAAGUAUAGAGAAACCCUAACCAGCAACAGUUUGAUUUCUUACCCCUUAUGUAUAACAGCUGCAAUUUCUCAUCUAAUGAUGGCUUCUAUGUUUUGUUGCUUUAAUUUGAUUUAGUGUGCAAUAUGUUAAACUCACAUACAUAGUCAAAUCAAUAAUGAAAAUCUACAGAUGAAACAACAUUAUAGAGUAAGAAAAAGAGAGAUAGUGCCUGGCUGAAAGCACACCUGGUGAUUCUCACCUGCCUUUUGCUGGUUGAUGACUAUUAUUUGAUUUCAUAAAUAACUAGAAGAUUAUACAUUUUAUUGCAAUAUCAAGUGAUGUUGUACACCACCUCUACUGAUUGAUGUCCUUGCUAAGUUUUCAUUCACUACAGGACAAUAAUAAUGGACAUUAGCAGAAAUUAAUGUUUAACUAGCACUGUCCUCCCCCCCACUUAUAUAUAAACAAAUAUUAUUGUUUGUACAAUCCUCUCCAAACUGUUAGCUU